rnacentral:ncRNA from 1 species
CCCUGACAGUUGCAUGAUGCGACUGACAAACCCAGACAGGAGAAUAACAUG